GGAAUAUUGGACAAUGGGUGAAAGCCUGAUCCAGCCAUCCCGCGUGAAGGAUGACGGUCCUAUGGAUUGUAAACUUCUUUUGUAUAGGGAUAAACCUAGAUACGUGUAUCUAGCUGAAGGUACUAUACGAAUAAGCACCGGCUAACUCCGUGCCAGCAGCCGCGGUAAUACGGAGGGUGCAAGCGUUAUCCGGAUUUAUUGGGUUUAAAGGGUCCGUAGGCGGACCGAUAAGUCAGUGGUGAAAUCUCAUAGCUUAACUAUGAAACUGCCAUUGAUACUGUCGGUCUUGAGUAAAUUUGAAGUGGCUGGAAUAAGUAGUGUAGCGGUGAAAUGCAUAGAUAUUACUUAGAACACCAAUUGCGAAGGCAGGUCACUAAGAUUUAACUGACGCUGAGGGACGAAAGCGUGGGUAGCGAACAGGAUUAGAUACCCGUG
rnacentral:rRNA from 1 species